GGAGCGAAAGCGUGGGGAGCGAACAGGAUUAGAUACCCUGGUAGUCCACGCCGUAAACGAUGAGUGCUAAGUGUUAGGGGGUUUCCGCCCCUUAGUGCUGCAGCUAACGCAUUAAGCACUCCGCCUGGGGAGUACGGUCGCAAGACUGAAACUCAAAGGAAUUGACGGGGGCCCGCACAAGCGGUGGAGCAUGUGGUUUAAUUCGAAGCAACGCGAAGAACCUUACCAGGUCUUGACAUCCUCUGACAAUCCUAGAGAUAGGACGUCCCCUUCGGGGGCAGAGUGACAGGUGGUGCAUGGUUGUCGUCAGCUCGUGUCGUGAGAUGUUGGGUUAAGUCCCGCAACGAGCGCAACCCUUGAUCUUAGUUGCCAGCAUUCAGUUGGGCACUCUAAGGUGACUGCCGGUGACAAACCGGAGGAAGGUGGGGAUGACGUCAAAUCAUCAUGCCCCUUAUGACCUGGGCUACACACGUGCUACAAUGGACAGAACAAAGGGCAGCGAAACCGCGAGGUUAAGCCAAUCCCACAAAUCUGUUCUCAGUUCGGAUCGCAGUCUGCAACUCGACUGCGUGAAGCUGGAAUCGCUAGUAAUCGCGGAUCAGC
rnacentral:rRNA from 1 species